rnacentral:rRNA from 1 species
UACGUAGGGUCCGAGCGUUGUCCGGAAUUACUGGGCGUAAAGAGCUCGUAGGUGGUUUGUCGCGUUGUUCGUGAAAACUCACAGCUCAACUGUGGGCGUGCGGGCGAUACGGGCAGACUUGAGUUCGGUAGGGGAGACUGGAAUUCCUGGUGUAGCGGUGAAAUGCGUAGAUAUCUGGAGGAACACCGGUGGCGAAGGCGGCAUCCUGGACCGGUAUUGACACUGAGGCGCGAAAGCCAGGGGAGCAAACAGG